rnacentral:rRNA from 1 species
UAGGGAAUCUUCGGCAAUGGGGGGAACCCUGACCGAGCAACGCCGCGUGAGUGAAGAAGGUUUUCGGAUCGUAAAGCUCUGUUGUUAAGGAAGAACGAGUGUGAGAAUGGAAAGUUCAUACUGUGACGGUACUUAACCAGAAAGGGACGGCUAACUACGUGCCAGCAGCCGCGGUAAUACGUAGGUCCCGAGCGUUGUCCGGAUUUAUUGGGCGUAAAGCGAGCGCAGGCGGUUAGAUAAGUCUGAAGUUAAAGGCAGUGGCUCAACCAUUGUAGGCUUUGGAAACUGUUUAACUUGAGUGCAGAAGGGGAGAGUGGAAUUCCAUGUGUAGCGGUGAAAUGCGUAGAUAUAUGGAGGAACACCGGUGGCGAAAGCGGCUCUCUGGUCUGUAACUGACGCUGAGGCUCGAAAGCGUGGGGAGCGAACAGGAUUAGAUACCCUGGUAGUCCACGCCGUACGAUGAGUGCUAGGUGUUAGGUCCUUUCCGGGACUUAGUGCCGCAGCUAACGCAUUACACUCCGCCUGGGGAGUGCGACCGCAAGGUU